AUUGAACGCUGGCGGCAUGCCUUACACAUGCAAGUCGAACGGUAACAGGUUAAGCUGACGAGUGGCGAACGGGUGAGUAAUGUAUCGGAGCGUGCCCAGUCGUGGGGGAUAACUGCUCGAAAGAGCAGCUAAUACCGCAUACGACCUGAGGGUGAAAGCAGGGGAUCGCAAGACCUCGCGCGAUUGGAGCGGCCGAUAUCAGAUUAGGUAGUUGGUGAGGUAAAGGCUCACCAAGCCGACGAUCUGUAGCUGGUCUGAGAGGACGACCAGCCACACUGGGACUGAGACACGGCCCAGACUCCUACGGGAGGCAGCAGUGGGGAAUUUUGGACAAUGGGCGCAAGCCUGAUCCAGCCAUGCCGCGUGCGGGAAGAAGGCCUUCGGGUUGUAAACCGCUUUUGUCAGGGAAGAAAAGGUUCUGGCUAAUACCUGGGACUCAUGACGGUACCUGAAGAAUAAGCACCGGCUAACUACGUG
rnacentral:rRNA from 1 species